rnacentral:lncRNA from 13 species
GGAAGUUCUGCUGGUACCAUGUUGCAUUGGGGAUACUGCAACACGCAUAUAUCAAACCAGGAGUCCCGUGGAAAGGAAAUAUAUAUGGACAGACAGAUUCUUGAUAGCUGUUUCAGAGAUGUUUAUUUCUCCAGCCGCAUGGCCGGAGCUCUGCCCAGGAACUGUUCCAGUCACGGGACCAAGGGUCCUUCUGCCCGCGCAGGGAACACAAACCAACCAAUGGGAACGAGGCUGAGCAGGGACAGGGAAACCCCGUGUCUGUGCCCUCAGGGCCCCUCUCCCAGGGCUACACGGCAGGGGAGGGACCCCAACAGUACCCCUCCUUAUUUCACCCAGUCUAGCAGGACACCUCCUCUGGCAGGCUCAUUUACCAGCUGUGUUAGGAAGUUGUCUUCCACAUACUCCAGGAACUUCCUACACUGCUUCCUCUUUGCUGUGUUAUAUUUCCAGCAGACAUCUGGCAAGUUGAAGUCACCCAUGAGUACAAGGGUGAGCAACCAUGAGACUUCUGCCAGCUGCUUAUAGAAUGCCUCCUGUCUGUUCGUGCUGGUAGGGUGGAAUAUAACAGACUGCGACCACCAUGAUGUCCACCCUGCUGACCUUCCCCCUGAUCUAUGCCCACAGACACAAGCAGUUCCACCCCACCACCUCUCCUGCUUUGUCUGUCUCUUUGGAAGAGCUUAUAAGGUAUCCAUUGCAGUGCUCCAGUCAUGAGAGUCAUCCCACCAUGUUUCCAUUAUAGCAAAUACAUAGUUUUCCUGUUGUACAAUGGCUUCCAGCUCCCUGUGCUUGCUGCCUGUACUGUGUGCGUUGGUGUAGAUGCACUUCAUGUGGGCUAGUGGUUUUGUCCUCUUACAAGCCUGCUACCCCCUAGGCUGAUCUCUAGUGAGCCUGGUCUUAUCCGUUUCCCCCUUUGAGCCUAGUUUAAGACCUCUCUGAGGUCUUAAAUCAGACUUGAAUGAGUUAAGACAAGACAGACUUAAAUGUGUCUUGAAUGAGUUAAGAAAAAUAUCUAUGGGGCAGGUGUGUUGUAAAGAUUUGUGCUGUAUUGUAAGUGGCUUUGUUGAAGAUAAUUAUCACAUCACAGCGUAAUGCUAAAUGAGAUACCUCAGGUCGGUUGAGAAUUUAACCAUAUUGACAUUUCAGGAUUCAGCAGUGUAUGUAAUGUUUCUAGUAUUGGCAGGGUGGAGUGAGAAGAUGCUAUCAGACUUAUUUUGUACUAGCUCUGGUCUAUAAAAAAA